rnacentral:rRNA from 1 species
UUUAAUUGAAGAGUUUGAUCAUGGCUCAGAUUGAACGCUGGCGGCAGGCCUAACACAUGCAAGUCGAGCGGUAACAGAAAAGCGCUUGCGCUUUUGCUGACGAGCGGCGGACGGGUGAGUAAUGUCUGGG